AAGUCGUAACAAGGUUUCCGUAGGUGAACCUGCGGAAGGAUCAUUACCAAUAUAGCGAACCGAGCGUUAGCGAGGCUUCGCGAUCAAAUUGUAUUUAAAACCCAACUCUUUAAAUGUAUAUUAUUGUAUUUUAAAUAAUAAAAGAUUACUUUCAACAACGGAUCUCUUGGCUCUC
rnacentral:misc_RNA from 1 species